UGAUGCGCAGCUACACAUGCAGUCGAGCGAGAUCUUCGGAUCUAGCGGCGGACGGGUGAGUAACGCGUGGGAACGUACCCUCUUCUGCGGGAUAGCCACUGGAAACGGUGAGUAAUACCGCAUACGCCCUUCGGGGGAAAGAUUUAUCGGAGGAGGAUCGGCCCGCGUUGGAUUAGGUAGUUGGUGGGGUAAUGGCCUACCAAGCCUACGAUCCAUAGCUGGUUUUAGAGGAUGAUCAGCCACACUGGGACUGAGACACGGCCCAGACUCCUACGGGAGGCAGCAGUGGGGAAUCUUAGACAAUGGGCGCAAGCCUGAUCUAGCCAUGCCGCGUGAGUGACGAAGGCCUUAGGGUCGUAAAGCUCUUUCGCCUGUGAUGAUAAUGACAGUAGCAGGUAAAGAAACCCCGGCUAACUCCGUGCCAGCAGCCGCGGUAAUACGGAGGGGGUUAGCGUUGUUCGGAAUUACUGGGCGUAAAGCGCACGUAGGCGGAUUGGAAAGUAUGGGGUGAAAUCCCAGGGCUCAACCCUGGAACGGCCUCAUAAACUUCCAGUCUGGAGUUCGAGAGAGGUGAGUGGAAUUCCGAGUGUAGAGGUGAAAUUCGUAGAUAUUCGGAGGAACACCAGUGGCGAAGGCGGCUCACUGGCUCGAUACUGACGCUGAGGUGCGAAAGUGUGGGGAGCAAACAGGAUUAGAUACCCUGGU
rnacentral:rRNA from 1 species